GUUUUCGUUUUCGAGCCUGCGCUCCCGUCAGACUGCCCCGACUGCUCUACCUGUGUCGCGAUCGUCGUUACUUGAUUUCCUGUGUUGUAGUAUACUGUUUUAGUACUUACUGCUUUCUGCGCGUUGUGUGACGAACCAUUUUCGUGUUACAGUCAGACGGAGACGAAAGACGGGAGUGAGAGUAGCAGCAGCUACAGAACGCACGCCACAACCACGGACGUAACACUGUUUACACAAAGCGGGCGUGAGACUUCGUUUACAUUUGGCCGUUGCUGCGAAGAUGUCCGGUACAGUGAACAGUGCGUGCAAAGCUGGCGCAGCGACCCGAAAUCGCCGGCGAUGAGCCCGGAAACACUGCGAGCGGAACGCUUUGAAAUUCGUGCAGCUGUGCGUCUCGUCGCGCGUGUGUUGAGUGAUCGCAGGGGAGAAGCGCUGCCCUCGUCGAUUUGUUGCUGCUGUCGCCGCGCCUACAUGGAACAGCUGUGCACUAUUGCAGCGCAUUAAUUUCAUAUACGUCGGCGCCAGAACCUGGUGUCAACCAUGGAAGCACUGAUCUGCUUUGUGGUGGCCACUUUUGUGUUCCUGCUGCUCUUUGACCACUACUGCCACGAGGAGAGCCAGCAGGAACGCACCCCAGCCACCGUGCGGGACGUCGUGGACGAUGGCACGAUGCCUGCGGCCAAGAGUCGUUACUACUCGACCAGCCUGUUCGCGAUCCUUGGUCUGUCGCGCGAGGAAGUGCACGACUUUGCUGCUUUCCGUGACCGCUUCAGCACCUUCUCCGAAGUCAGCACGGCCAUGCGACGGGCAGGGCUUCCCGACAUCCACGUCAUUGUGGGCGUCGACUUCUCGGCCAGCAAUGAGUGGCAGGGCAGGCGGACGUUUCGUGGUGAGAGCCUGCACGCCCUGAAGCCAGGUGCACAGAACCCCUACCAGAGGGCGCUGGCUUCCCUGGGUGCUGCAGUGGGGCCCCUGCUGCAUGGGAACCCCAUCCCGGCCUAUGGCUUUGGGGACUCUGUCACCAAGGAUGCGGACAUAUUUCCCCUCAUUGAGUCAGGCGCCUCGUGCCUGGACUUCAACGACCUCAUGUGUGCCUACACACACACUGCCCACAAGGUGCAGCUGUCAGGCCCGACGAGCUUUGCACCCCUGGUGCAGAAGGCGCAGCAAAUCGCCGUCGACAGCCGUGAGUUCCAUGUGCUGCUUGUUCUGACGGACGGACAGUUCAGCCCUGCAGGCGAGGCAGCUUCCAGGAAGGCCAUCAUCGCAGCCUCACAGGUGGCGCCGCUCUCACUGGUAGUAGUUGUGCUGGGAGACGGCCCGUGCGGAGCACUGGUGCGCUGGGACGAUGGUGUCCCUGAGCGCCGUUUCGACAACCUACAGGUGGUGCGGCAUGCCGAGGUGACGCGUGGGUGCCGACAUCCGGACGCCGCACUGGCCCUGCACGCGCUGAUGGAGGUGCCCGACCAAUACCGUGCAGCCGUGCAGCUGGGUCUGCUGAAAGGUGGCAUGUCGCCAUGAUUGUGCACUCCUCGCUUUUUCUUCAAGGAAGAGGAACAUAAGAUGGCACCUUCACUGUGGCCAAAAAGCCACUGCUUGUGUCUGUGCCAAGGGUAUUGAAAGUGGAAGCUGUUAAAGACACUUUUCACAAUCGUCUGGAAGUGGCUUGCUAACACGUUACAGAAACCCAAGUGAAUCCAUGCCCAAGCAGAUGGUGUAGACUAGCUGCAGAGCCUGAUGUCACAAAGGUGUGACGAUGCUGGCACAGUAUUCCAUGCAGGCAAAAAAAAGACGAAAAAGAGUCUCGACAAACUCUAAUGGCCUGAAGUUUCUCCGGUGCCACGAUUAAAAGAAACAUGGCUGAAUUUUCAAGAGAUGCUUGACAAAGGUCAUGUUCAAAGCAACAAUCAACGAGGAAGCAGGAAAGUGUCAGCAUGGUCUUCUGCUCCUUUUGUCUGCACUGUGCCCAUUUUGUUAACGAACAUGCAGCUUUUAUAUAUUUUAAUAGCAGCACAAAUGUUUCAUUCCAGCCAAGAAGAGAAGUGAUGCCCGUUAGCUUCAAGGCACAGACAGGACUGGACUGAUUAAUCACUCUAGUGCAAGAGCAUAGCCCAACAGUGUCUUAAGCAGAACCCACUGUAAGAGUUGACAUUUUUGUUUCUCAGACUUUACUAGUAACUGUACGAGAAACAGUGUGCACGUGUUUAUGCCUUCUUUUGGAGAUGCUGUCCUGGACACAGCAGCUGUGCUUUAUUUUUAUUUUUAACUACUGUUACCACUGGCAGUGUGGCUAUUGUGCUGAUUAGGCA
rnacentral:misc_RNA from 1 species